rnacentral:rRNA from 1 species
AGUGAACGCUGGCGGUAGGCCUAACACAUGCAAGUCGAACGGCAGCACAGUAAGAGCUUGCUCUUACGGGUGGCGAGUGGCGGACGGGUGAGGAAUACAUCGGAAUCUACUUUUUCGUGGGGGCUAACGUCGGGAAACUUACGCUAAUACCGCAUACGACCUACGGGUGAAAGCAGGGGAUCUUCGGACCUUGCGCGAUUGAAUGAGCCGAUGUCGGAUGAGCUAGUUGGCGGGGUAAAGGCCCACCAAGGCGACGAUCCGUAGCUGGUCUGAGAGGAUGAUCAGCCAGACUGGAACUGAGACACGGUCCAGACUCCUACGGGAGGCAGCAGUGGGGAAUAUUGGACGAUGGGCGCAAGCCGGAUCCAGCCAUACCGCGUGGGUGAAGAAGGCCUUCGGGUUGUAAAGCCAUUUUGUUGGGAAAGAAAAGCAGCAGGUUAAUACCCCGCUGUUCUGACGGUACCCAAAGAAUAAGCACCGGCUAACUUCGUG